rnacentral:rRNA from 1 species
UUGACAUCCAGAGAACUUAGCAGAGAUGCUUUGGUGCCUUCGGGAACUCUGAGACAGGUGCUGCAUGGCUGUCGUCAGCUCGUGUUGUGAAAUGUUGGGUUAAGUCCGCAACGAGCGCAACCCUUAUCCUUUGUUGCCAGCGGUUCGGCCGGGAACUCAAAGGAGACUGCCGGUGAUAAACCGGAGGAAGGUGGGGAUGACGUCAAGUCAUCAUGGCCCUUACGGCCAGGGCUACACACGUGCUACAAUGGCGCAUACAAAGAGAAGCGACCUCGCGAGAGCAAGCGGACCUCAUAAAGUGCGUCGUAGUCCGGAUUGGAGUCUGCAACUCGACUCCAUGAAGUCGGAAUCGCUAGUAAUCGUAGAUCAGAAUGCUACGGUGAAUACGUUCCCGGGCCUUGUACACACCGCCCGUCACACCAUGGGAGUGGGUUGCAAAAGAAGUAGGUAGCUUAACCUCCGGGAGGGCGCUUACCACUUUGUGAUUCAUGACUGGGGUGAAGUCGUAACAAGGUAGGCGUAGACGU